rnacentral:rRNA from 1 species
GAUUAACGCUGGCGGCGUGCAUAACACAUGCAAGUCGAACGAUGAAACUUUAAUGAACCCUUCGGGGAGAAUUAAAGCGGAUUAGUGGCGAACGGGUGAGUAACGCGUGAGUAACCUGCCUUACACAAGGGGAUAGCCUUUGGAAACGAAGAAUAAUACCCUAUAAAACCAUAAAAGCACAUGCAAUUAUGGUCAAAGUGAUAGCGGUGUAAGAUGGACUUGCGUCUGAUUAGCUAGUUGGUGAGAUAAAAGCCCACCAAGGCAACGAUCAGUAGCCGGCUUGAGAGAGUGUACGGCCACAUUGGGACUGAGACACGGCCCAGACUCCUACGGGAGGCAGCAGUGGGGAAUUUUGCACAAUGGGGGAAGCCCUGAUGCAGCGACGCCGCGUGAUUUAGAAGGCCUUCGGGUUGUAAAAAUCUUUUGUAUAGGAAGAAAAUGACAGUACUAUACGAAUAAGGUCCGGCUAAUUACGUG